GUCUGAGUGAAAGCCUUCGGCUCACCGAAGAAGUGCAUCGGAAACUGGGAAACUUGAGUGCAGAAGAGGACAGUGGAACUCCAUGUGUAGCGGUGAAAUGCGUAGAUAUAUGGAAGAACACCAGUGGCGAAGGCGGCUGUCUGGUCUGUAACUGACGCUGAGGCUCGAAAGUAUGGGUAGCAAACAGGAUUAGAUACCCUGGUAGUCCAUACCGUAAACGAUGAAUGCUAAGUGUUGGAGGGUUUCCGCCCUUCAGUGCUGCAGCUAACGCAUUAAGCAUUCCGCCUGGGGAGUACGGCCGCAAGGCUGAAACUCAAAGGAAUUGACGGGGGCCCGCACAAGCGGUGGAGCAUGUGGUUUAAUUCGAAGCUACGCGAAGAACCUUACCAGGUCUUGACAUACUAUGCAAAUCUAAGAGAUUAGACGUUCCCUUCGGGGACAUGGAUACAGGUGGUGCAUGGUUGUCGUCAGCUCGUGUCGUGAGAUGUUGGGUUAAGUCCCGCAACGAGCGCAACCCUUAUUAUCAGUUGCCAGCAUUAAGUUGGGCACUCUGGUGAGACUGCCGGUGACAAACCGGAGGAAGGUGGGGAUGACGUCAAAUCAUCUGCCCCUUUCCCUGGGCUAAA
rnacentral:rRNA from 1 species